rnacentral:tRNA from 1 species
AAGUUUAAGUUAUACAUCAAACUAAGAGCCUUCAAAGCCCUAAAUAGGGACCAUGCCCUAACUUCU